rnacentral:rRNA from 1 species
AAACUAUGUGAAGUAUUCACACACAGCCGUGGUCGCAAGAAAUGUGCAAAGCGUGUUAGAAAGAGCGAAAGAAGUUGCCGGUUGUACGGUUGCCUUAAUAAGUACGUUACACCGUGCACAGGUGGCGGUGGACACAAGAAAUAAGCC